CUAAAACGACUCUCGGCAACGGAUAUCUCGGCUCUCGCAUCGAUGAAGAACGCAGCGAAAUGCGAUACUUGGUGUGAAUUGCAGAAUCCCGUGAACCAUCGAGUCUUUGAACGCAAGUUGCGCCCCAAGCCUUCUGGCCGAGGGCACGUCUGCCUGGGUGUCAC
rnacentral:rRNA from 35 species